rnacentral:rRNA from 1 species
AACAAACGCUGGCGGCGUGCCUAACACAUGCAAGUCGUACGAGAAAGGGUCCUUCGGGACCUGAGUAAAGUGGCGCACGGGUGAGUAACGCGUGGAUAAUCUGCCCCUCAGUUGGGAAUAACUCAUCGAAAGGUGGGCUAAUACCGAAUAAUAUUGUGAGACUUUGGUCGAUCAGUCAAAGAGAGCCUCUGCUUGCAAGCCCUCGCUGAAGGAUGAGUCCGCGUACCAUUAGCUUGUUGGUAGGGUAAUGGCCUACCAAGGCGACGAUGGUUAGCUGGUCUGAGAGGAUGAUCAGCCACACUGGAACUGAGACACGGUCCAGACUCCUACGGGAGGCAGCAGUGAGGAAUCUUGCGCAAUGGGGGCAACCCUGACGCAGCAACGCCGCGUGAGUGAGGAAGGUCUUCGGAUCGUAAAGCUCUGUCAGUUGGGAAGAACUACCUAAGGGUUAAUAUCUCUUAGGCUUGACGGUACCAACAGAGGAAGCACCGGCUAACUCCGUGCCAGCAGCCGCGGUAAUACGGGGGGUGCAAGCGUUGUUCGGAAUUAUUGGGCGUAAAGAGCGUGUAGGCGGCCUGAUGUGUCAGAUGUGAAAGCCCUGGGCUUAACCCAGGAAGUGCAUUUGAAACUGUCAGGCUUGAGUAUGGGAGAGG